AGUGGCGAACGGGUGAGUAAAGCGCAAAUAACCUACCCUAAAGAUGGGGACAACAAGUCGAAAGAUUUGCUAAUACCGAAUGUUGUGAAAUUUUCGCAUGGGGAUCUCAUUAAAGAUUUAUCGCUUUAGGAGGGGUUUGCGUCCGAUUAGGUAGUUGGUAAGGUAAGAGCUUACCAAGCCGACGAUCGGUAACCGGUCUGAGAGGAUGAACGGUCACAUUGGAACUGAGACACGGUCCAGACUCCUACGGGAGGCAGCAGUGGGGAAUAUUCCACAAUGGGGGAAACCCUGAUGGAGCGACGCCGCGUGAGUGAAGAAGGGCUUCGGCUCGUAAAGCUCUUUUCUACUUGACGAAUGGUAUAUUGGAUAUAUAGGGACGGUAAAGUAGGAAUAAGCCACGGCUAACUACGUGCCAGCAGCCGCGGUAAUACGUAGGUGGCAAGCGUUGUCCGGAAUUAUUGGGCGUAAAGGGAGCGCAGGCGGGAAAUCAAGUCUGAAUUAAAAGUGCAGCAGUAAUGGCUGUGAUGGUU
rnacentral:rRNA from 1 species